AUGUCUUCACGCAAAGAAUCGACGGCGAAUUUUUUAUUAGUCAUCGAAUCGGACAGGUGUCAGUCAAGCGCAUCAUGAUUUAACAUGAACCGGCAGUGCACAGAGUAUUCCAUCUCUCAACAUAUAGUCCUAUUAAAAUGUUCCCGGACUUUCCGGUUCCCAGUUUCCCCGUGUACGUUAAACCCUAAUCUUCCUCUCCCCUGCCCAACAUUUGCUUCCGCUCCUUUUGCUCCUCUCAUUUGUGAACACAGAGUCUCUCUGCUUCAUCACUUGGAUACUCAUGGGUAAUUUGUUAGUUAUAUUGUAUGGUUAUUGUCUGGUUGGAUCUUGCUAUUACGCUUUAUAUCGUUCCAUUUCUACUAAUUUUGUUAUUUUUUUCCCGAUUUUAUGCUUUGGUUUGCAGGGAAGAUUAAGAUCGGAAUCAACGGUACUGGAUCUAAUUUAUACUGAUAUCAAAGAAUUUUAGCUCUGUUUUUAUCUCUUCGGUAAUGAUUUGGUGACUGGUUUUACUGNNNNN
rnacentral:lncRNA from 1 species